rnacentral:rRNA from 1 species
AUUGAACGCUGGUGGCAUGCUUUACACAUGCAAGUCGAACGGCAGCGCGGGCUUCGGCCUGGCGGCGAGUGGCGAACGGGUGAGUAAUGCAUCGGAACGUGCCCAGUAGUGGGGGAUAGCCCGGCGAAAGCCGGAUUAAUACCGCAUACGACCUGAGGGUGAAAGCGGGGGACCGAAAGGCCUCGCGCUAUUUGAGCGGCCGAUGUCGGAUUAGCUAGUUGGUUGGGUAAAGGCUUACCAAGGCUACGAUCCGUAGCUGGUCUGAGAGGACGACCAGCCACACUGGGACUGAGACACGGCCCAGACUCCUACGGGAGGCAGCAGUGGGGAAUGUUGGACAAUGGGGGCAAACCUGAUCCAGCCAUGCCGCGUGCGGGAAGAAGGCCUUCGGGUUGUAAACCGCUUUUGUUCGGGAAGAAAUCCUCUGGGCUAAUACCCCGGGGGGAUGACGGUACCGGAAGAAUAAGCACCGGCUAACUACGUG